CAGCCGCCACGGGAAUACGUAGGUGGCAAGCGUUGUCCGGAAUUAUUGGGCGUAAAGGGCUCGCAGGCGGUUCCUUAAGUCUGAUGUGAAAGCCCCCGGCUCAACCGGGGAGGGUCAUUGGAAACUGGGAAACUUGAGUGCAGAAGAGGAGAGUGGAAUUCCACGUGUAGCGGUGAAAUGCGUAGAGAUGUGGAGGAACGCCAGUGGCGAAGGCGACUCUCUGGUCUGUAACUGACGCUGAGGAGCGAAAGCGUGGGGAGCGAACAGGAUUAGAUACCCCAGUAGUCCCUGUCUCUUAUAC
rnacentral:rRNA from 1 species